UACGUAGGAGGCGAGCGUUGUCCGGAAUUACUGGGCGUAAAGAGCGCGUAGGCGGCGCGGUACGACCGCUGUGAAAGCCCCCAGCUCAACUGGGGAGGGUCAGCGGUAACGGCCGUGUUUUGAGUGCAGGAGAGGGAAGUGGAACUCCGGGAGUAGCGGUGAAAUGCGUAGAGACCCGGAGGAACACCAGUGGCGAAGGCGGCUUCCUGGUCUGCGACUGACGCUGUGGCGCGAAAGCUAGGGGAGCAAACGGG
rnacentral:rRNA from 1 species